UCAACGGAGGCAGCUGUCAAUCACUCGCGAACUCCGAUCAAACGGUCAAACUAGGCAGCGCUGAACAAAUAUGAAUCAAUAUUCUGUUACUGUAAUGCCUGUCCUCAUGUUACAUUACAUAAAGAUUUCCCCCAGUGAGUUCAAUGUAGUGAUGUAUGCCGAUUUUAGAAAAAGAUAGCUCUGGUACUAGAUCAGUACUUGGUGUGGGCAGACAGGUGCAUCGCUACAAAGAGUGGUCGGAGGUCAGAUUUAAGCCUGAAAACAAACGUUUAAUCUCCUUUCUACGUUCUUUUAAUUUCAGCCAAAGCAAGAGACGGUGCAUGAUUUUCCUCCACGCGCUCACCUGUCAAAGAAUUUUCUUGAUAUUUCAAAAUAUCACAUUAUUUCAUAAGUGCCUCGGGCAGUCAUCUCCGGUGGCUACAGACUGGGUGUUCCUCCCCGUGACAGGGCUCAUCAGUCACCGGGCCACAGAGAGAAAGACGGGGCAGACAGCGAAAACGGAGAAAUAAAUACCUGCUCCACUAAAGCACAUGAUUGACAAAGAGGAGCCCCUUAUUCAUCAUGAUGAUGAAGCACCACUCAAGGCAACAGAGCAUCCACAAUAACAUCUGGGCCUAUUGUUUUUUCUCAAUGAUCCCCUGUCUCUCUCUCUCGCAGAGAAAUGUUCCAUUUUUAAAGUCACGGCCUGAUUGUUUAUGAAUUAAACGGGGCCAAAGUCCUUUUAUUUGUUUGUCUAACUUUUUCUUUCUUCUCAUUGUGAGUUUUCAAGAGCUUGUUUGUGAGCUUUCUGAUUGGCAGGAUGCUACCACUGCAGUGCCACAAUGACUUACUGGGCUAAUACUGUUCCCCCCACCACACUCUCAUCCAGUGUUAUGAGUCAGCAGUGGGACUACCGCUCCAUCAACUGAGGGCAACAUGCUGCUACAGACAAAGCGAGACAGACAUCUAGGGAGGGAGGCAGUGGGAGAUGGUGAUGAUAAUGAUGUGUGUCUUCACGGGGGGCUGACACCUCUGACAACAUGUCAGCGGGGCCGACCCAGAUACCACCGGAGAGAGACGGGCAGGACACUGCUUUCCAACGGUUGCUUGUGAGAGCCUGUCAGCCUCUCCCCGUGCCCCUGUGAUGAAUCGUCUUCCUCGGCUGGCGGAGAGGACCCGUGAACCAAUCAGGUGGAGGAUCCGGCCAGAUCACAGAGGUUAAUAACAUUCCACAUGAUUACCCACAACCCCGAGGAUUAGAAGGUUCAGGGGGGGAGCAGGUUCCACGUCGCAAAUAAUAAUCGCUAUUUCACAGUAGUGUCGUCCCGGCCACUCGGGUGAAAGGCCGCCACACUAUCUCCUCUCUCCCACAGCGAGGGAGGAAGAGAAGAAAAAACACUCGAGUGGACCCCAACACCUACUGAAAGUGUUAUUCAGCUCUUUUCAGGGGUUUUGAGACUGAGUUUCCCCUCCUCCCCCUUCCGAAACCAAACCAUUUUAAUGAAUGCAACCUUUCAUUCCCCUUUUCCACGAGAUGUGCUCUCAUCGUGAUGGUGAUGGUGUCUGUGGGCGGAGUGCUUCAUGCCGAGUAGGGUUAUGUCACCUUGUCGUUAGCUGGGGGAGCUGUUGUAGGAUUACAUAUUUAUCUCAUUUCUGCAAAGAGAAUUAGUAACUCAACCCCCCCACCACUUCCUUACAUGAACACUUCCUGUCUUCCUGUCGGUUAUAGCACUCAACAGCGCCCCGAAAUCCCAGAUUCUUUUGCACUGUUGAUGGUUUAAACUCAACUAUGUUUACUGUGUGUUAAGUUUCCAAAUGUAAACUGUAACUUGCUAAAAAACAUUUGGGGAUACCGCUUUAAAGAGGACAUAUUAUGCC